AUGAAAGAGGAGAUCCAGACGAUGCAGGAGGCGCUUGGCUUGCUCCAGGGGAAACGCCAGGACACUGCCAGCCAGCUGCCAGGCCACCGCAACCAGAAGCGGAAUUACGAUGAAGUGUGGCCGGAAUCAGGCCUGGGUCCUGCAGCAGGACAGGAGAAAAGGCUGAAGGAAAGGCUGAAGCUCAGCCCAAUCCCGGAGGAGGAGGACACUGGGCUCUGGUCUGCCCCUUCCAAGCUCCCCCAGGUGGAUGUGGACAGCCAGCAUGGGGCAAGCUCCACACCAGGACCAAAGGGUGGUCCUGUGCCCAGCACAAGCAAGGCGACUCCAGGGACCCAGCCUGGCUCUGAUGCGACGCAAGCAGGGACACGCAGAGCACCAGGGAUCCCUGAGAAGGUGGCAGGCACUCCUUCAGAUGGAAGGAGGGCUUCUGAUGCCAGUGCCGUGACCCCAGAGAUGCAGCCUGGAUCGUCCAGCGCCCAACUCCCCCUCCCAGGGAUGGAGCCAGCCCUCCCUGGCAUCAAGAUAGCCACCCCAGGGGAGCAGCCAGGGUCCCGUGGCACUCAGAGCUCCAGCCCGAGGAAGCAGCCAGUAUUCCCCAGCACCCAACUCAGCCCUCCAGGGAUGGAGCCAGCCCUCCCUGGCAUCAAGAUAGCCACCCCAGGGGAGCCACCAGAGUUGCCUCGCAGCCAGACCCUCAGCCUGGAAGUGCAGCCAGGAUCCCCUGACAUGUCCCAUUUACAAGUGCCAGCCAUGCCCUGGGAGUCCUCACCCUCCGGCCGUGCCUCUGACUAUGGCGUGGUGACGGUGGAGGCUCUCCACCAUUUUGGGCAGCUGAAAGAGCAGGUGUCCGAUGUGGGAGCCACGAAGUCCGAUUACACAGAGGAUGAGGAUGCGCACCUGCUCUUCCCAGAGGGAGAUGAAGAGAGCGUUGCCCUCUGGGGUCAAGAGUUCUCCCUGCAGAGCCUGGCCAGUGACCUGCAGGAAAUGAAGGAGAAGGUGAGCUGGCAGUAG
rnacentral:lncRNA from 1 species